UGAGAGGCGUCUGGUUGGAUUUCAACUAGCUGGUUGGAGAGCUUCAGGGGUAAAAUGGGAGAGCUAUUGGUUCUUCAAUGUCUACAUCUGGAGGCUUUUACUGUUUUACACAGCCAUAGUUCACCGACUUCAGUUUUGGCUUCCAUUCUUCACCGACUUCCUUGCCUUCUUAUCUUUCGAUUCGAAGAUCAAUUUCCAUCUAAACUCAUCUUCGUCUGCUGCUCGCCUGGCCUUGGCCUCUGAUCAGGUGAUUUUAUCAUUAAGAUGCCAAUGUUGACUGCUCCAAGUACAAUUGUUAGCUCGCCUCUAUUGCCAACAGAUUUUGAAAUGAGGUAUUUCUUCCAUCAGUUUGUGUUUUCAUUGUUUACCGACUUCCUUGCCUUCGUCUUUUUCAUCGCUAUGAUCUUCCUCUUAUCUUCCAAGGUGCUCACUUUCCGACUCACUUGGGUUCUAUCAGGAAGGGGAUUGAAUCUCACAUAUUAGCUCAGCUGCACCCAGAAAACUAUCUGAGAAGAUAAUCUGCAGAGCAGGGGACUUGCAAUCUACUGAGGUUAAGUAUCUUUGAAACCACUCCAAGGACCUCCUCUCCUUUGAGUUGUAGUUUCAUUUAAGUUGCCAAAAACUCCUGCAGUAACUUUGAUACCUCGCCAGCUACAUGUUCCAAUGGAUCUUUUUUUGCUUCACAGUUUCUUAGGUUCCAUUCAUUUUGGUAUUUAUUUUGGUGUGAUAUAUUUCUCUUAGGGUGUGUCAAAUGGUAAAGCUGCAAGUAAACCAUCUAUUGAUAAUAAUAAAAAUGAGCUUUCUAACCCUAAACCCUCUAAUAUCUGAGUAUGUUGUUGAAUCUAUUGGGUGUUUUGUUGAGGUUAAUUUUAGGGUACAGCAAUGGAUUGAAACAUCUGAGCAUGUUGUUGAAUGUUUUGAGUGUUUUGAGACUGAUGGAGAGAGAAAAACAGAGGAAAAUAGUAUCUGAAUACAGUUUUUUUUUUCAAUUACUUAUAAGAUUUCUUCAUAUAAAACCCUUUGUUUAAUAUCAGUUUCUAUUGAGCUCCCUUAGUUUUUGGUGGAUGUUGGUGUGUAAGUGUGUGUUCUUCCUGUUAUUCACACUGAACCCAUUUUUCUGGAAGGCCAUAACGGUAUAAAGUAGGUAUAAAUUAGGUAUAAAUUAGGUCAAAAUGCUUCUGUAGAGGACUGUUCUGUAUGUAUGGAAUUUUGAUCUUUGUGGAAAUAUGAAUGGUAUGUUAGAAAGUGAAUUCAUAUAGACCGUAUAGUUGGAAUUUUGAGUUCUUAGGUUUAUUUUUGUGCAAAGUCUUCUGUUAGAAGAUUCAUUGAAGAGCCAUUUCUUUCCUUUUUCAGUCCCUCUUUUAUCACUUGAAAGGCUAAAGUACCUGCAAAGGCAUGAAUUCUUGCAGGAAUUAUAGCUCAUGAGAGCAAUACUUUUUUUUAUAUAAAUCUAUUUAAAGGAUGAGACAUAGAAGGAUCUUUGAAAAUUAUGGUCUGGAAUGGAUAUUUUGCAGACCAAAGUUUGAGAGGUCUGUCAUUGGGAAUGCAUAAUUGUAUCCAAAAGCUUCCCGUGAUGAAUUUUUGGUCAAACUCAUAAAGAAAGAACAUUUAAAUUCGUAAAGAAGGGGUAGUGUUCAACCUAUUUCCCAAGUUAUUAUUUCAAAUCUUUGCCCUUCCAAGUUUUAAAGGUUUAAAUUGUUUGUUAGGGUUUCUCAAUUUGAGUGUUUGAUUUACGAAUUUUAAUUCUUCUCUCUUUCUAAGUUUGAAAACUACCUUCAUUAUCUGGUUGGAGUUGUUGAUACAACCAGAACCAGAUUUUAAAUUCAGUUGGGAUUGUUGGGAGAUAAGAAUGGGAGAUUUUUUUUGGCUGGCUCUUUGUCAGUUGGGAUUUGUUUUUCUUUUCUUUUCUUAAUGCUUCUUAAUUCCUGUUUUGCUUUAGCAAAGUGUUCAGCUCGCAUGAAUUUGAUCUUUCGGCUAAUAGAGCAUAGAAAUUAGCUUACGGCACCAUAUGAAAAUGGGUUUAAUUUUCUUUAGGUUUAUAGUGAAGAAGUCCAUCGUUUAAAAGGGUUUUUCUUCAAGAACAAACGUAUAGUGUAAUUUAAGAUAAACAAAAAGAAACUAAACUAUUUUUAUAUCACCAAAAAUUUCAGUGUCUCUGAUACCAAAUCAGACCAAAGUGAGUCAAAUUAAAGUUAGUAACCAACUGAACUUACUACAAGUGAAAUGUGUCUGAACAAUGAGUUGAGGCAAACACCAGAGGAGCCACAAUAAGUUAUUAAUUGUUCUUCAAAACAAGAAAACAAACUAAAGAAAUUAAACACAUAAUUUCAAAAGUUCAGAGUGAAUUGUGUCCUGUCUGCGUUUUUUUUUUUUAAAACUCCACAAUCAGUUUUGCCCUUGCAUGGCCCUCUGAAAUUUGGAAUUGUUCAGUUAAACCCAGAUGUGCCAUAAGAAGCCAGACAUGAGUGAGCAGCUCUCCUCCUCGCCUGAGCUUCUGAGCCUGACCACUCCAUCGACAUUGAUUGGCGGCAUAAGGGAGCAUCUCCACCCACACAUGACUUACAAACUGCCACUUUCUCCCAUUAGUCCACCCUCUAUCUGAGUCCAGGGACUGCAAGGCUUUAGCAAGCCUGCAUGCAUCAAAUAGAACUGACUUGCUUCUAUCUCCUUUCACUUUAGAUGGAAGGAUGUCUGUGCACAUAUCCAGUAGCUUUGUGCAUGCUUUCCUUUCACCCAAUUUCAUUAUUUUCUUUUCCUUGAAAAAUUCUUCAGCCUCAGCACAUGUGUCUCUAAACCUUAUCUGUCCAAUCCCAUUCAGUAGCAUGAAGGGGCACAUGACUAAUAGUUCGAUAACAGCUUACUGUCUUCACAAUUUUCACUAGGAACCGAGUUCGAGUUUCGAUUCACAUCAGAAUAAUAACAUAGAUCGGUUUGUGCAUUUGGUAUUUGUUUUUGUGUGAUAUUUUUCUCUUAGGGCGUGUCAAAUGGUAAAGCUGUUGAUUUGUUGGAAUUUAGGGUUUAUGAUUUGUUGAUUAAAUUUUGUGAUGGACCUCUUUUCCUCUCUCUGUUUGUGCAUUUGUCUUAAUCAAAUUUGUUUC